CUGCGCGCCGGAGACUCCGUGCUGGCGCUGGGCGCCGCGCGCCGCGGACAUGUCGCCGUGCAGGUGCUGGGCCGCACGGUGUCCGUGCCGCACAGCGUGCUGGCGCCGCCGCGCGCGCUGCGGCCUCGCGCGCCGCCCGCCGUGCCGCCCCCCGCCGCGCCCGCCGCGCCCGCGCUCUCAUGACCGCCCUGACAAGACCGAUUUUUUUCUAUGAAACCAUUGAGAGCUCGCAUUAUAACAUCCACAUUAAAUAUUAUGGGACGUCACAGUGAGGAUUGCGAGUGUCUCGCCUGUUGCGCGCCGCCCGCGCCGCCGACGGAGCAGACUCGUAUCAUGUGUCAUGUGAAAAACUAUUAUAUCCCGAUUGGGAAACUGACCCUUAGUGACAGGCGCUUCCCUGCCGCUGGCGAUGUCGGAAAAUUGCCAUGAAUGCUUUGAUGGACUUUAGCUGCCUUGUCAUAUGUCAUGGGUGUUAUGUGUUACGGAUAUAAGCUCGUUUACCAUAUAGAGACCGCGCCGGCCGCGCCCAGCGCCCCUCUCAUUGAUCCAGACAAGUUUGUCAGACUGUACCUUACUAUAUAACAUUCGAUCCGAAAUGUAAGUUUAUUGUAAAGUAAAUAGAUAUUCGAUGUAAGAUUUAUUUUGAAUACACAGAGAUAUAGAGUUGUGAGGUAGCUGUCGUGCGUACAGGAGGCGGCUGCGCUCCGACCUGCAGUACAACAUACUUCUUAAUUAAUUUUUAAAGGCUACUGUAUGUCACAGCAUUGUUAAUUUUAUUAUAUGCAAUUAUUUAUGUUUUCUUCAUACAAAGGUUUGAAUGACCGAACUCUAUGUAAACUGUGUGUUUGUGUGUGACUGUGUGUAUGAGCGUGUGUCGAGCGACGUGAGCUCGCGCCCCCUGCCGACAAGAGUCUGAAGCCCUACUCACUCGACGACUCGAUAAUGUAGUGAGGGAAACGUACAAAAUAAAAGACUAUAUUUUAAAACA